CGGGACGGGUGAGUAACGCGUGGAAAACCUGCCGUAUACUGGGGGAUAACACUUAGAAAUAGGUGCUAAUACCGCAUAAGCGCACAGCUUCGCAUGAAGCGGUGUGAAAAACUCUGGUGGUAUACGAUGGUUCCGCGUCUGAUUAGCUAGUUGGUGGGGUAAUGGCCUACCAAGGCAACGAUCAGUAGCCGGCCUGAGAGGGUGAACGGCCACAUUGGGACUGAGACACGGCCCAAACUCCUACGGAAGGCAGCAG
rnacentral:rRNA from 1 species